rnacentral:lncRNA from 1 species
GGGUAACUUGAGCUGUAUUGUUGGGGGUAGGGAUGAGGAGGAAUCAGAGGGUAGGCUGGGAGCACGUGCACCUUCCAUGGCUUGUAGCAGGUCCUAUGGGGGCUGUGUGAUGCUAAGAGAGCGUUGGAAAUUGAGUGGUUGUGGGGAACUGCUCAGUGGAACUUUAGAACUGGGAUGAUGACUUCCCCACCUCCUCGGGAAGCUUGGCUGAGGCUGCUUCCAGUCCACUGAUGUCCUUCUGCUCGGGGUACCCAGCCAUGUCCAGCAAGAAGCCUGCAGGUAUCUUCUCAGAGCUGGCAGGCUUAUGCUUGCACCCAGUCUAAUUGUAUAGUCUGCUCAGAGCCAGUAUCCUCAGCUGGCCAGCACAGCAGGUACAGGGCUUGCUGCUGGCAGGACCCCUCUGAACCGAUGGCUUUGCUUGACGUGAAGCUCUGCACAGGAGAGUGAAUGGCUUUUUUCAACAUCUAUUAAAUUUAUUUGAAAUAAAAGAUCAUCUCUAGUGUUUAACA